UUAGGACACCAUGCCUUUGGGCUUUGCUCUUCAAAAGAUAAACCCUAAACACUUGGAUACAGUUUGCUCCUCCAUGUCUAUCUCUUUCUUUGAAUUCUUUUCCCUUCCCUUUUUCCUGUGGAAACGUGCUGACACUGUUCAUUAAAGAGAAACGUGCAUGCGGGAAUAUAAGAUUAGGGUUUCUACAGAAUGCGUGCGACCUCCUCAAUGUCACACUUAUAUAUAUGUCCAUUUUCCUCUCCUCCCUUCACUCAAGCAAGACUCAAGCUAUCUCCUGAGACAUGUUGGGAUAUAGUACUGCAGCUUCUCUUCUUCUGCCACCAUGGUGCUGCUCUCAACUUUCUGGCGAUUCGCGGAUACCCAUCCCUAAUAUUUUCCUCCAGAAGGGGCAGUGUAGGCUUCUGUCUCAUUUUCAUGAGGUGGGUGGCUUUUGUAGCUGCAUGAACCCAGAUGGGUUGACUUAAUUCCAAGGGAAGAAUCACGGCAUGGAGAUCUUCCAUGCAAGGGGAAUCAAGCUUUCCUGGUCCGAUCGGUUAUUUUUAUUUUAUUUAUUUUGUUUUGUUUUGUUUUAACAUUUUUAUACUUCUAAUUAAUUGGUCUGCAAUGAUGCAGAUGUCCAUUAUCAUCAUUUUCUCGUUGUAUUAUUAAUUUUCAUGAGUGUUCUAGUAAUAUGUUGCCAAUAAGGGCUAGAUAGGAGUGAAUUGUAGUGUUGAUGUAACAGUCAGAUCCGAGAAUUAAUGUAAGGACUGUGUGCAAGUUAAUUCUUAAUGUAAUAACAGUCUCAUGUAUACUCCGGUUUCAUGACCAAGUAUCCAUUAAUUGUUUA